AGCGGAGGAGAAGAAAUUAACUAAGAUUGCCUCAGUAACGGCGAGUGAAGCGGCAAAAGCCCAAAAUGUAAAUCUAGUACAUUCUGUACUCGAAUUGUAAUCUAGAGAGGAUUCACUCAACGGGUGGUGGCGCAGAAGUGACCACGAACGGUCCGCCAGAGAGGGUGAAAGCCCCGUAUGUGGUGCCGCUACUUAACGAGUGGGUUUUCGAAGAGUCGGGUUGUUUUGUAUUGCAGCCCUAAGUGGGAGAUAAACUUCUUCUAAGGCUAAAUAUAUAUGGGAAACCGAUAGCGAACAAGUACUGUGAAGGAAAGAUGAAAAGAACUUUGAAAAGAGAGUCAAAAGACUUGAAAUCGUUGAGAAGGAAGGAGUAGAAAUUUAUUCUUCUGCGUACGCUGGUAGUAGUCGCCUAACCAUUGCUGGCUUAGAGAACCGAAAGGGCUCUGGUUAGUACCUGGGGAAGUGGCUGCUUUGGGGUGCGUAGUGAGACAAGAUGGGGUCGUGCGGCCACAAAGGCUUCUUACAUUUCGCUUCUCUCGGGAGGCACUGUAGGUGUGUCGGUGGAAGUACGGCCUGAGAAUGCUUCGGCGAUCUUGUCAAAAUGGUUUUUACUCACCCGUCUUGAAACACGGACCAAGGAGUCUAACUUAUAUGCGAGUGUGCUAGUGGAAAAACUAACACGCGUAAUGAAGGUGAUUAAUGCCAAGCGCAAGCAGCAGCAUUGACCGACCAUGAUCCUCUGGUGAAAGGUUUGAGUACGAGCAUACAAGUUAGGACCCGAAAGAUGGUGAACUAUGCCUGAGUAGGGUGAAGCCAGGGGAAACUCUGGUGGAGGCUCGUAGCGGUACUGACGUGCAAAUCGUUCGUCAAACUUGGGUAUAGGGGCGAAAGACUAAUCGAACCAUCUAGUAGCUGGUUCCCUCCGAAGUUUCCCUCAGGAUAGCUGGGACAAAUACGCAGUUUUAUUAGGUAAAGCGAAUGAUUAGAGGCAUCGGGGGUAAAAUGCCCUCGACCUAUUCUCAAACUUUAAAUUGGUAAGAACCCUGGCCUUUCUUAAGUGAGGCAUGGGGGCUCAAUGCGUGUCCCAAGUGGGCCAUUUUUGGUAAGCAGAACUGGCGAUGAGGGAUGCUCCUAACGUCGAGUUAAGGUGCCCAACUGCACGCUCAUCAGAAACUACAAAGGGUGUUGGUUCAUCCAGACAGCAGGACGGUGGCCAUGGAAGUCGGAACCCGCUAAGGAGUGUGUAACAACUCACCUGCCGAAUGGACUAGCCCCGAAAAUGGAUGGCGCUCAAGCGUGCGACCGAUACUCGACCAUUGUAGCGAGAGUGAGGCUACAAUGAGUAGGAGGGCGUGAGCGUUGUUGCGAAGCCUCUGGCGUGAGCCUGGGUUGAACAGCGUUUAGUGCAGAUCUUGGUGGUAGUAGCAAUUAUUCAAAUGAGAACUUUGAAGGCCGAAGUGGAGAAGGUUUCCGUGAGAACAGCAAUUGGUCACGGGUGACUCGAUCCUAAGACAUGGGGGAAAUCCUUGUUAAGUGAGCUUUGGCUCGUAGUCGAAAGGGAAUGAGGUUAAUAUUCCUCAAGCUGGAUGUGGGUGUUGUAUGGCAACAUAAGUGAGCUCAGAGACGCCAGCGUGAACCUCUGGAAGAGUUAUCUUUUCUUUUUAACAGACUAGCGACCCUGAAAUUGGAUUACCCAGAGCUAGGGUUGUAUGUCUGGAAGAGCACCUUGCUUUUCGAGGUGUCAGGUGCGUUCACGAUGGUCCAUGAAAAUCUGAGUGAGAU
rnacentral:rRNA from 1 species